GUUCUCAGUUCAGAUUGCAGGCUGCAACCCGCCUGCAUGAAGUCGGAAUUGCUAGUAAUCGCGGAUCAGCAUGCCGCGGUGAAUACGUUCCCGGGCCUUGUACACACCGCCCGUCACACCAUGGGAGCCGGUAAUACCCGAAGUCAGUAGUCCAACCUCGUGAGGACGCUGCCGAAGGUAGGAUUGGCGACUGGGGUGAAGUCGUAACAAGGUACC
rnacentral:rRNA from 1 species